rnacentral:rRNA from 1 species
GACGAACGCUGGCGGCGUGCUUAACACAUGCAAGUCGAACGGUGAAAGAAGAGCUUGCUCUUCUGGAUCAGUGGCGAACGGGUGAGUAACACGUGAGCAAUCUGCCCUUGACUCUGGGAUAACCUCGGGAAACCGAAGCUAAUACCGGAUACGACAACCGACGGCAUCGUCUGGUUGUGGAAAGAAUUUCGGUCAAGGAUGAGCUCGCGGCCUAUCAGGUAGUUGGUGAGGUAACGGCUCACCAAGCCUACGACGGGUAGCCGGCCUGAGAGGGUGACCGGCCACACUGGGACUGAGACACGGCCCAGACUCCUACGGGAGGCAGCAGUGGGGAAUAUUGCACAAUGGGCGCAAGCCUGAUGCAGCAACGCCGCGUGAGGGACGACGGCCUUCGGGUUGUAAACCUCUUUUAGUAGGGAAGAAGCGAAAGUGACGGUACCUGCAGAAAAAGCACCGGCUAACUACGUGCCAGCCGCCGCA